UACAAGGUUGAUAGGUCAGAGGUGUAAGUGCGGCAACGUAUUUAGCUGACUGAUACUAAUAGGUCGAGGGCUUGACCAA
rnacentral:rRNA from 1 species